AGUUUGUUACAGAAACAUUGUGGGAGUGACUUGAAAAUAAUCAAAAUAUAUUGAGGGUUAAUUGUGUCCCAUAGACCGAGCCACAUCUCGACCUAAUUGCAAAGUGGAAGACAAAACCUCUCGACCCUCUCAGUCAUCUUCUUCGCCACUUUCUCUUCCCCUUCUCAUCCAAAAUGAAAAUCUUGUGCCCUCCUCACUGCUAAUCCAAACCACUAAUUCAAUUCCUCAAUUUCCCCCAUUUUCCUUUCAAUUUUUCGAAAUCCGUACCAAAUUUUUCCACAAUUGAAAAAAUGGGAUUCGAAUUGAACGCUCUAGGGUUCCGAGUAAUCGAGCAGCAGUGAGAUGAGCAACAACACGGAGAGUUCAAAUCCGAGCCUCCUGACCUUGAGAAGCAGCAGCAGCGUGACGGCGGCGCCGAGGCGAUUACCUUAAUUCCCAAGUCUUCUUGGGUUGAGUCUAGCCAUCUGCGGCUCGACUUGUUCUGGGGAAUCUCGAGCCUCUCGUCGUCGCUGUUGAAGACCUCGAUGUACAGCAACAAAAUAUAUUCCGUGCCAAUCGUCGUCCAGGCUCCACCAGUUUGGGCUAAACGACAAGGCGUCGCCGGUGAAAUAUAGUGGAUUCAGAGAAGGCCAGUAGUCCUCUCCAGUCAUUGUGUUUCUUCGCUUUCUCUCUCUCUCUCUCUCUGAAUUUCCAAAUUUGAUUCUCACUCUCUCUCUCUCUCAAAACCCUAACCCCCAUUCUCUAGACCACAAGACUUCCGCUUCUCAUCGCCGCUCGCCAUCGACCUGCCACGGCGUCGUUUCGGCUUCGUGUCGCAUUAUCGGUGUUUCUCGACAUUGUCGGUGACAGCCGGAAGGAAGAAGGAGGGAGAAUGGGGGUUUUGGCUUUAUGGGACUUGUACGACGGCGUUGGUGAUCGGUCUUUGUUUUGAUCAACAUUCCGGCGUUUUGGCUUGCCGGAGAAGAGCGAUUGGGGUAUCGGAGGCUCUGUGGGAAAAGAGGUUUGUUGAGUGAAACUGCGAAGAAGCGGAAUAAGCAUUUGGUAUUUUACAUAUAUCAGCACCUUGAGUGGUUGUUACACUGGCACAUUGGCACAUUGAGUGAAGAGGCCUUCAAGGGGCUAGGGGACUUUUCAAAGGAGGAGCUGGACUCGGAGUCAGAGAGUGAGGUGGUUGAGCCGGCUAAUGAAGAUUUGAAAUUGUAUCUGAUGCUUCAAGGCUUUCCAAAGAGCAAAACAUGAGCAUGAGGCAUUAAAGAGGCAGCUUGAAACUUAUUUCCAGUUGAGAAGACAAGCUGGAAUGGCACAAAGGUCUUGAAUGCCACAUAGAUUGGCGAUUGCAUGAGGUGCCCAUAUAAUAGGGAGAAACUAGUUGAGAACUAUGUAUUUUGUCAAUCUCGUGAACUCCUAGCUACGUAAUAUUUGUUUAACUAUAGAAGGCACCCUAUUCAAGUUUAGCUGCUGCAAUAUUCAGAUACUGAGUUUUGGUUAGCCAUAUAUAUAGAAGUAAUAUUGUUCGAAAAAUCUACUUCCUAGAUUUACCAAUAAUGCAAUUUUUACUCCUCUGUGAGAUAUACUGCAAUAUGCAUGUAUUAUGAUAUAAAGGCCUUUCUUCUUGGAAUAAAUAAACUUGCAGCUGUGUUGUUGUCAUUUAAUUGCCCUUGUGUGUAGCAUGUAAUUCUUAACUUCCUGAUCUAAUGAUAGCAAGGGAGGUAAUGAGAGGUUGGAUGUGAUAGAACUUUGUACAUACUAAACUUUCUAGUAGGAUACUGAUCGACUUGAAGGGUAGAGGAAUCAGCCUAUUUAGAAUCUGUUAAAGCUUUUGAAUUGUUAGCUAAUUGGUUAAGUUUGGUGUUUGAUGACAUGGCUUUGGGAGUUAUUUGACAUUGCCACAAAGAAAGUCUCUUCCUAAUAUGCGCUGUGACAUUGCCAAGCUUCUUGAGAUUGGCUAGGAAGCUAAAGCUCAGAUUCAGAGUGCAAGUGCUUGUGAUUCUUUAGUUGGUGUGUUCUAUUCCAAGCCUUUUGACACCAAGGUGGACUGGAGCUUUGUUGCUAAGGCUUCUCCCUGUUAUGUGACUUAUCUAAAGGAUGCAAUUGAUCAAAUCUGCAUUGUUAGCUGAGAGUUUGGAGUAUCAUGGUUGAGGCUGAAGUGUGAAAGUUGGAGCAGUUCAAGUCAAGUAGGCUCAAAUAGAUCAUUUUGAAAAAGAAGUUGGAACUGGAUGAGAAGCUGUUGGAUGCUCCACCCGACACACUAGGUGCUAUUGCCUUAGCACUACACUAUGCAAGUAUGAGAGAACUUUAGUGGCAAAUAUUUUCCUCUCGCAACGAUUUGAUUGUAUUAGCUUUUGCUAUCUUUCAUUGUAAUUAGCUAGAAUGCAGCAGCCAUCAUGCUAGCUAGAAUGCCUUCUUUUUUGGUUUUAUGGAAUGGAUGGAUACAUGAAUGCUACCUCUUUUGGUACAUUAGAUUGUUGAAUACUCUAAUGCAUAAAUCUUAUAUUGUGCAUUAUUUUUGUGCAAA